CUAAUGUCCCUCAAAAUGAGGGCCAUCCCGGCCAGAGUGCACACACCGAGGGCGGCGGGCAGAGGAGGCGGCAUCGCUGUGUGGACAAGAGCCAUGUGAGCCAGCUAACCUGUGAUGUCCUCCUCCUCCUCCUCCUCUUUGGACCAGGCUGUGGUUGUUUCGACUGCAACACUGCAGUCAGAUAUUGAGGAUCUGUUGUAUGUAGCCAACUGCAUCUCUGGUGAUGAUGUGGAAUCGGUGACUGUCACUGAGGUGCCUCAGGAUGUGUUUGGAGUGGGUGGC